rnacentral:lncRNA from 1 species
GACCAAACACUCUCUCUCCUAGUCUCUCUCUUGGCCGAAUUCUCUGCAGCAAAAACACAACACAAAGUUGCCAUUUUCAUCCUCAAUUCUUGCACAAAAACUUCAUGGAUUCACACCAAAUUUGAACUACACUUAGCUUGUCACGUGGAGAGAUCAUCUAGCUAGAAAAAGGAGGAGUUUCUCACGGUUUCUUGGAGCAUCUUGAGGACCGAAAUUUCUGGUUUAAAGCAACAAGGAGGUAUAACCUCAUCCUACACCUUAAGCUUGGUUUAUGAUGGUAGAAAUGCAUCCUUAAGCUAUUGCAUGUGUAUGGGUAUCUUGAUAUUGUUGGAAAAAUGUGAAAGUGGGCUCUAUGGAUUCCCACACUUGGGUUGUUGCUGAUUUGAUGAUUGAUGGUGGAUAUAUUGUUGGUUUAGUGGUUAAAAUGAUGGAUUAAUGGUGUGUAAUUGACAGAAAUUUCAUUGGGUGCAAGAGGCAAAAGUUUCCGAUUUUACCCCUGCCUUGUCCGACCACUUUUGUGCAAAAUUUUGAAGUUCUAAUGGCUUGAUUAUGUUGUUUACAUGUUAUUGUGAGUGUGUACAAAAUUUCAUUGAAAAAUAACAUGAUUUGGUUGGUCAAAUGAAUUGAUUUCGAAAGUUAGCAAAUCUGGAAAAUGAUUCCCGUAUUGACCAGGCAGUCAUUUUGUAUCGGCUAUAACUCUUUACUCCGAUGUCGAAAUCAAGUGCCGUUUGCGGCAUUGGAAACUAGACAUUCCCAGCUUUCCAUUGGUACUAAAUUCGCGUUCUGGUUCCACUUGAGUGAGCCACACCAUUCGUUUGAAAAUCACUGCCCUGUUUCGUUGCUCUCCAGGAGACAGGACAGAAAUUUCUUCUUGAUGCUCAAAAACGAGCUGUUUGUGGAUAGAAUUUGGAAAUGGUUUCUUCUGAGAAAAUUCAGCUUUAUGAGAGAGAUUUCUAACGCCAUCAACACGCUCAAUUCCAAGUUGAAUUGAGUGAGUUGUGGCCAUAUUUCGAAACUGAUGCAGUGAGUAAAAAUCCUCUUUUGACUAGUUAAAUGGCCUAGCUUGAUUUGGGACUUGUUGUUUUGGAAAAUUUGAUGUCCAACAUCUACCAAACUUUAUAUUAGAUGUUUCUUGGACUUUGUUUUACAAAUAAACCAGAUUUGGGUUGGUUGCUUUGGACAAAAUAUUUAAAAAGGAAAGAAGAGCUAGAAGACAGUUUUACCUUGGGAAAUUUCCUGAACUUUGAUGGUUUAGUUAACUACCUUCCCGUGUGAAUUUUCAAAUGAAAUUUGGUAGAAGAGUAAUCCUCAUAUGGAGGUUUAAUUGUACAAAAUUUGGUAAUAUUCUAAGACCAUUUUGAUAUGCAAAUGAUGUCACAAAAUUCGCUCAUCGAAUCUGGAAAACUUUUGUUUUCUCUUAGCCGAAUGGCAAAUCUGAUUUGGAGAGUUUUAUUUCGAAAAUUUGGAUGUCAAUGGUCUUUAAAUUGCUCAGUGAAUGUUUAUGAACUCCUGGUUUCAAUAAUGGAGAGAUUUGGAACUGAUUUCAUGGUACAAAAAGUUUGUAAACAAAAGAAAAGUGAGAAGGUAGUUUAGCCUUGAAACUCUUCAUAAACUUUGGUUGUUUUAAUGACUACCUUACCGUGUGAGUUUUUGUAUGAACUUGUAGAAAUGUUGUUCACAUAUGGAAGAUUUAGUGUACCAAGUUUUAUGUAUUUCCACUGCCAACUUGAUGACCAAAUGAUAUUUCAAAUCUAGUUUUAAACCUGGAAAAUAGCCCAACAGUCUUAACUUUUUCAGCAACUUGGAGGUACUAUAUCUUGGUGCUCGAAACUCCGUUUCUCGUUCCGCUUGUUUUGUUAUACUCUUGGAUUGCAACACUAAUUGAUUUCCAAAUUUCAAAGGUUAGUUCAAAACAAGUGAUUUUGCCGAAUUUCUAAAGUUGGCCAAAAACCAACUUAAAUCUGUCUUGGUAAUUCAAGUUACCAACUUUGAGCCAAAAUUUGAGUGCCUUUCACUUACAUUCGUGGAAAAGUGUCUUCUAAGAACUUUUAGUACUUUGAAAGAGGAUUCCAACAGUAAAGUUUUCCAAUUUUGGACUUGUGGAGAGUGAAAUAUGAUUUUUCAAAUAUUACUUGUUAAAUCUGGAAUUUUUUAACUUAAAGGAAACUAAAGGUUUCAAACCCUCCAUUUUCCUUCAAUAUCAUUUGAUCGUUUUACAUUUGAUUUUAAAGAUGGAAAUCAGAUUUGUCUUGUAUUUUAAAACCCACUUUUGAACCUCGAGUUACACGAACUCUUAGACUUGCCUCUGCGUUAAUUUCUUAGAUUGUACUAGUGUACAAUUUUCCUCGAUAAUUAGAAUGAUUUUGAGUGGUAGUUGAUUAUUGUUGCUCAGGCACUCGAGGGAAUCUCCCAGAGGAACUCGGAGCGGACACCUAAAACGCUUGUUUGAGAACUACUCGCUUGUUUUGACUAGGUGAGUGUUCCAUAUAGGAAUACGUAAUUGGAAUAAGUCUAUGACAUGCUUAACCCAUGGUCAUUAAGUAUUUACCACACUCAUGCAUAUUUGAAUAAUGUAUACUUGAAUUGCUCGACAUAAACACCUGAAGUAUGUAUAUUUGAACUUUGAUAUGAAAUGCUUAAAGAGCAUACUUAUGUGAUUACUUGAAAUACUAGAUAUGAAAUGUUUGGAGAGCAUAUUUACAUGAUGUGUUUAAAUGAUUAAUUAUGCUAUGGAAGCAUAAGUCGGUUGGAGUGAAUCUCCUCGACUCUUACGUGGUGAAAGUGAAAAACGGCCAAUGGCGGCCUAUUGAAAUGACAUAUGUCUACCAAUUAACCGUAAUUACUACCGUUAACCGUUUACGUUUACCGUGUUUACUUACCGUUUUCUAAUCUAUGUGGUUACUUGCCUACUUGAUUAUCUGCUUACGUGAUCACCAACUUACUUGAUUACUUGACCACCUGAUUACUUGAUUAUCAUAAAUUAUAUGCUCAUAUGAAGUGGGCCACGGUUUUAAAGCUGAGUCCAUCAUUAUUAGCUGUGUACUUUACCUCACUCGACCUACUCAAAUGAUGAAUUUUUACUUUUGUCGAAUUACUUGGUUACCUGUGCAUGUUGUAAGCUCUAAGCUGAACUUGGGCCCCGCCCUGGUUACUGACCUACUCGAGCCAGGACUGGGCUCGGUCGGGUAGGUUGGAACCCUGGCCACCGUUUCGGUAUACUCGAGUAUUACCACUGGAGGGAUAAGGCGAUGGCCAGACACGUACCGUGGGGAUCAGAAGUCAUAAGGUGCAGAUGACCGACAGAGUUCCACUGGAACACCGUAUCCUACCGUAUAUGUUUACCUUGUAUCAUGAUAAUUGUUUCAUGCUAAAAUGUCAACAUGAAAUCCUGAACUAUGGUGAUAUGCUUCCAUACCUGUUACCUGACCAAUGUACUUAUAUCAUGAUACCUGUCUCAUGAUAAAUGUCUCUAUACCAUGAUAAAUGUCUCAAAUUACUCGUACAAUGAUUAUCACCUCAUGAUAACACGCCAUUGUGUAACCAUUGAACCAUGCAUAUGAUAUGCCCAACUUACUUGAUUUAUUUGAACUGUUAGAGUGUCUUGGAACCUCACUGGGCUGUGUAGCUCAUCCCACGUUGUGGUUUUCUUUUUACAGGGUUCGAGACCAAGGGUGCUCGUGAGUAGUACUAGAUUGUUUUCUUUU